UGACGUAAUGAUUUACCACCGUGACGCGUAGAUCUUCCGUGCGCCUUGACCGUGAUGUUCAUCACCACGACGUGACCGGGGGAAGGGGUAGGGCAGGAAACGCACAACAACACCAUCAACAAGAGAAGGAGAACCGUGGAGGAGCGCUGGAGGAAUCAGUGAUGUCUCUCUCGCCAUGCCGCAUCCCGCCGCGUACCUGCUGCUGCUCUCCGUCGCGCUCGCGCUCACCGAGGCCGCGGAGCUGAGGGGUCUCGAGCACAAUGAGGAGACGCCUUCGCGUAAUGGACGUCGGGAGGAGACGGUGACCGCGCCUGCGGAGGCGUUUUCAUCUCUGACGCUGAAGGUGUGGGUGAAGGACGCAUCCAGUCAACGGUACCUGAGAGGUGCAGAGGUCCGGGUGUUUGUCAGCGGAUCUCUGCUACAGUCUAGCCAAACUGAGGAAAAUGGAGAAGUGCUUCUGACUAUACCCUACCAGCUGGGGGUCACCCUCACUCUGGUGGCCAGCAUGGAGGCCUACAUGCCCACUCAGCUGCCCUGGAAGACCACCAAGAUGCCCAUAUUUUCUGCUGUUACGAUGUCCUUGGUCCCACAAACCCAAGGCAACAUCUGGCUCUUUGAAGACACCGUGCUAAUAACACGAAAAACAUCUGACGUGUCAUCACAGCCUAUUGUCCAGUUCCCCAAAAGCCUGCUCUUGCUCCCCGAGAACACCACCAUCUCUGCAGUGAACGCUUAUCUGACAGUUCCAGCUCCACCUCCAGAGAAAGACGGUCAUUUCUGUACCAUGGGGGUCUUCAACAGCAAAGGAGUUUCAGGAAACAGGAGCGUGAAAUUGAGCCCCGUGGCAGUGCUGAGUGCUCAACUGCACUCCGACGGAAAAGAUAUUGACGUCAAAGGGCCAAUCCAGCUCACGGUACCUUUACCGUACAACAAACAUCUCAGAGCCUCAGACUCCAUGCCUGCCUGGACCUUUGACCUGACCACAGGUACCUGGGUGAACAAAGGUAUCGGCUCUGUUAGAAUGGAGAGAAAUGGUCUGGUCUGGACCUAUGUCGCUCCUCACCUUGGAAACUGGAUUGCAGCACCAUCUCCGACAUCUAACGGUUACACAGGACAUGCAACUUCGAUGGAUUUCAUCUCAUACAAUACAUACCUUCUUUUGGGCAUCUUGGGUGGGACUCUUGUGAUCAUCAUUGGAUUUUUAUCUGUGAUUUUAUGUCAUUGCAGAGAGUUGAACCAUGAGACUGAAAGGAGAAGAUGGAUCUCCACUAGACUGUCAAUCAUCAAGAAAGAUCAGACCACAUCUACCAGCACAGAUGAAGUCCAUGAGCCCUUGUAUAAUAACGGAGACCAUAACGGAGAUAGGUCUUACUCGAUGGCUGCAAGAGGCGCAGGUGUGUCAGCAUCUCCGCGACAUCAAACCAACUAUAACAUCUAUGUCGAUAACAUUUGCCGACCUGCAGGGAACCUGUACGAGAACAUCGGAACUGCUGGCCUAGAGAACCUCAGAAUUACAGUACCGAACUUGUAUGUAAACGGUGAUGAAGUAGCAAAGCUUCGAGAGAUGUCUGAUAACAGCACUUCAUGGCAAGCCCCUGGAGAAAAUUCCGCAUAUCGAGACAAGCUGUUUCACAUCUACAACCAGCCUGUGGCCAUUGUCCAAGCUCCAGAACAUUUCCCUGCACAGGGACAGACCGAGUCCAAUGGAAGCCGAUGUGCCACUUUUCCCCGGAACGGCAUGGAGCACGGAGCACAGACUGAGCGAAACCUGAAAGACAGUUUCACCCAAACACUGCCAAAAGCCCCACAACAAGACAACAAUGUGCAGCCUGCUCUAGAAGGCCCACAGAUCUCCACUGCCAACCCAGGAAUCUGGGGCCGUUAUAGCCACUUGCUUGAGUCUGUCUCUGUCCCGGGAACCCUGAAUGAGGCGGCUGGAAUGGGUAGUUUCCAUGGUGAGCUACAGGGAAUAUCUGAGCAGACCCUGCUGGAGCUUUCCAAGGCCAAGCCUUCUCCUCUGCCUCCUCGGGCUUGGUUUGUAUCUUUGGAUGGUAAACCAGCAGCCCAAGUACGCCAUUCCGUAAUCGAACUCCAAGGGAGGCACCGGCCAGGAAGCAGCAACGACACCAGCCUGGACUCUGGGGUAGAUAUGAAUGAGCUUCAGCAGUUAGUACGAAAGAGCGAUCGGGAAGGACCAUCGAUCACCAACAUGCCCAAAGUAGCAAGGAACCGUGGCCAUGAGGAACAGGACUUGAGUAGUAGUGAAAUCGGAAGUCCUGAAGAUACAUCUCUGAGGAACACGCUGGAGGGCAGCAGUGCAGCUAUCCCAAACAUCCCAGAGGAUCAAGAUGCUGGUGACACAUCCAGCGAGUCCAGAUCCACCCCACCACCCAGAAGACUACGCAAGAAGCCAAGACUGGAGCUUGUUCCAAAGAUAAAGUCCUCUGAUGGGAACUGGAUUGGGACCUGGUUGCACCCUGUGGGCUGCCGAUGCAGAGCGUGUUCUUGACGAUAAAUUCAAGCGAAUCGGGAUGUUGAGGAACUGCUUCGAGUACAUCAGAUCUUUCUUUGCUCUGCAAGCUAAUACCAGGAUUUUCAUUUUGGUGUUCUCACACAAUCAACAAAUGCAACACUACACAGUGCUAUACAAACCUCAGAGUGCACAGUUACCUUGUGUCGACAGGGGAGAGUUUUAAUCUGCUGACCAACAUGGAAGCUCUGAAGGCAAAGGCGACACUGUACUCCGUUUUCCAGAAGUCGAGAACUUUGUUGAACUUUUGUUACUGGGAAAAUCCUUAAAAUGUACCCUGGAACCACGUCUGAUAUGACAAGAGUUUCGGUGCUGUAACACCAAACAC